rnacentral:rRNA from 1 species
AGUGAACGCUGGCGGCGUGCCUAAUACAUGCAAGUCGAACGGAGUGGCUCACGGGUGAGUGAUAUAUAGCUAACUUGCCCAUUACUAAGGGACAACAGUUGGAAACGACUGCUAAUACCUUCUAGUAAUGGAUAGGGCUAUAUCGUAUCAGCUAGUUGGUAAGGUAACGGCUUACCAAGGCUAUGACGCGUAACUGGUCUGAUAGGAAGAUCAGUAAACCUGGAACGGAGACACGGGCCGGACACCUACGGGAGGGAGCAGUAGGGAAUAUUGCUCAAUGGGGGAAACCGUGGAAGAGCAACGGGGCGUAAAGGAUUACACUUUGCGAAGCGUAAACUCCUUUUAUUGGGAAAGCGGUACCCAAGGAAUAAGCACCGGCUAACUCCGUGCCAGCAGCCGCGGUAAUAC